UACGUAGGGUCCGAGCGUUGUCCGGAUUUAUUGGGCGUAAAGAGCUCGUAGGCGGUUCCGUAAGUCAGAUGUGAAAACUCAGGGCUCAACCCGGAGACGCCAUCUGAUACUGCGGUGACUGGAGUCUGGUAGGGGAACACGGAAUUCCUGGUGUAGCGGUGGAAUGCGCAGAUAUCAGGAGGAACACCGAUGGCGAAGGCAGUGUUCUGGGCCAGUACUGACGCUGAGGAGCGAAAGCGUGGGGAGCAAACAGG
rnacentral:rRNA from 1 species